rnacentral:rRNA from 1 species
GGAACCGCUUGCACGGUGCACCGAGUAUUGUUGGCUUCGGCCGGCUUUACCGCUCAACACCAGUUUGGCUUGCUGGAAAAAGAAAUUGGCAAGGUAGCAACGCUUCGGGGUUGUGUUAUAGGCCUUUUUCAUAUACAGUGGGCUGGACUGAGGACGGCGACAUCUCCUUCGGGGGCGCUUGUGCGGGCUGGCCAUGAGGCUGGACUGUGCGGACAGCAUGCUGACCGUACGGGACCAUGUCUUAUGCUCCAGUUCGUAUCUUGUGUUAUGUCAAGGGUAGUUGAGAAGCGCUGAACAAACGACCCGUCUUGAAACACGGACCAAGGAGUCUAACUUGUGCGCGAGUCAAUGGGUUGCUAAACUCACUGGCGUAAUGAAAGUGAGAACUUUUGUUCCUGGUACCAACCGUUUAACCGCGGUGCAGUAUCCACCGGCUAAUUGCUCUUUAGGGUGAUUGGACUGAGUGCGAGCGCAUAGGCUAGGACCCGAAAGAUGGUGAACUAUACUUGGGUAGGGCGAAGCCAGGGGAAACUCUGGUGGAGGCUCGCAGCGGUUCUGACGUGCAAAUCGAUCGUAGAACCUGAGUAUAGGGCGAAAGACU